rnacentral:rRNA from 1 species
CAACUUCUGCAUGUGUGAGCAGACUGGUGCAGAGGCUGCAUGCCCGUGGAGGAUUUGGUAAACUUUUUGUGCAAAAUUUGUAGCAGGUUUAUUUUCUUUUCCUUUUCCUUUUUGGAACUGGGCAUCACACCUGACUGGAUUAAGCCACAGACCACUGAACCAGCACAUAAUUCAGAUGAUGAAGAAGAAGAACGAAACACAGAAAGAUAGCUUCUGGGGAGAUACCCGCCUUACAGAGCCUCAAGGAAAGUGUUGUUCAUUCCCUUGCAUUUUCUCAUUCGUCUCGAGUCUUUUUCUGUGAACAGUCAUUUGCUCACUCUUGUCCUCUCCAGGUGUAGCCUGCAUCACGAAGCGCCGUUUCGCAGGGAAACAAACUAUCUCUGGAGGAGAGCAGCCAAACAAAAAGCAAAAGCAUCAGUGAGUAGCUGAGGAGUAAGAUGGAAGCACUAGACCCAGAGGUACUUGCCCUCGAAGCCUUCGUCCAAGAAGAUCAACCAGUGAAUUGAUACGCCACAGUCCUCCUUAGAUCACAUUUUUUGUAGGAUAUCCGAGAUGGUCGAUAGUCAUUCUUUAAGAGGGGGGUCAUUUACCCUAAAGGUAUGCAUCACUAUUUCCUGGACAUUCUGUUCGCCAUGUUUCUGUGGAUCAAUUGUCUCUGUUCAUUGAUUGUUGUCCAAAGUUUACUUCCAGAUUUGAUUGGAUUCAAUGCUACACAAACAGCAUGUUAUUUUGCUUUGUAUCGGACAAUUUGACUAGCAAUUAAGCACUAUUUGGAUGGUGGAAGGCAAGAAUUCUAUGUGGUGAUGUGCAUUAAC